CACUCCGAGGAGCGUUGCAACGGAUGGAGGCCCGCGAAGCACAUCGCGCGGCCGGCGGCACAGCCGCCCCAGCCAUCCGCCAGGCUCGGACUGUCUUCAACGGCGCUCGCUGAUC
rnacentral:ncRNA from 1 species